GAUCAACGCUGGCGGCGUGCUUAACACAUGCAAGUCGAACGAGGAAGAUUAAAAUAUUUCUUCGGAAUGAACUGAAUUGGAGUAGUGGCGAACGGGGGAGUAACGCGUGAGUAACAUGCCUUGUACAAGGAGAUAGGCGUUGGAAACGACGAAUAAUACGCUAUGACAUCAAAUAAUCGGAUGAUAAUUUGAUCAAAGAUUUAUCGGUAGAAGAUGGACUCGCGGCUGAUUAGCUAGUUGGUAGAGUAAAAGACUACCAAGGCAACGAGCAGUAGCCGGCGGGAGAGAGUGUACAACGGCACUGGGACAGAGACCAGGCCCCGACUCGUGGCAGAGGUAGGAAGGGUGACUUAUGAACAAUGGGGGAGACGCUGAAGCAGCGCCGGCGUGAGAUUUAGAAGCCCGUUGGGUAGUAAUAUUCUUUUGUAUGGGAAGAAAAUGACGGUACCAGACGAAUAAGGACCGGCUAACUACGUG
rnacentral:rRNA from 1 species